GUCCCGAAGGCUCGAUGGUAGAACAUACGAUUCAAUCGUAGGGUGCAGGUUCGACUCCUGCUCGGGACA
rfam:Rhizophagus irregularis DAOM 197198w jcf7180003195076, whole genome shotgun sequence.